AGAUGAAUAACCUGGGAUUUUCUUAAAAUGCAGGUUCUGAUUCAGAAAGUAUGGGGUGGGGUCUGGAACUCUAUUUUUAACAAGCUUCCAAAUGAUGUUGAG
rnacentral:pre_miRNA from 1 species